UACGUAGGGGGCAAGCGUUGUCCGGAUUUAUUGGGCGUAAAGAGCUCGUAGGUGGUUCGGUAAGUCGGAUGUGAAAUCUCCAGGCUCAACCUGGAGGGGUCAUUCGAUACUGCCGUGACUAGAGUUCGGUAGGGGAGUGUGGAAUUCCUGGUGGAGCGGUGAAAUGUGCAGAUAUCAGGAGGAACACCCGUAGCGAAGGCGGCACUCUGGGCCGAUACUGACGCUGAGGAGCGAAAGCGUGGGGAGCGAACAGG
rnacentral:rRNA from 1 species